rnacentral:rRNA from 1 species
GACGAACGCUGGCGGCGUGCCUAAUACAUGCAAGUCGAACGCAGUGGGGACGGGUGAGUAACACGUGGGUAACCUCCCAUCAGAGGGGAUAACACUUGGAAACAGGUGCUAAACCGAUACUGAUGGAUGGACCCGCUGUGCAUUAGCGAGUUGGUGAGGUAACGGCUCACCAAGGCAACUAUGCAUAGCCGAUCUGAGAGGGGGUUCGGCCCAACUGGGACUGAUACACGGCACAGACUCCGACGGGAGGCAGAAGGAGGGAAUCGUCGGCAAUGGACGAAAGUCUGACCGAGCAACGCCGCGUGAGUGAAGAAGGUUUUCGGAUCGUAAAACUCUGUUGUUAGAGAAGCGGUAUCUAACCAGAAAGCCACGGCUAACUCCGUGCCAGCAGCCGCGGUAAUUC